rnacentral:tRNA from 1 species
GGGGUUGUGACUCAGUGGUAGAGUGCUCACCUAACACGUGUGAGGCACUGGGUUUGAUUCUCAGCACCA